rnacentral:misc_RNA from 1 species
AAGUCGUAACAAGGUUUCCGUAGGUGAACCUGCGGAAGGAUCAUUAAUGAAUAACUUUGGCGUGGUUGUAGCUGGCUCUUAGGAGCAUGUGCACACCCGUCAUUUUUAUCUAUCCACCUGUGCACACUAUGUAGAUCUGGAUAACUCUCGCUCUUUGGAGCGGAAACAAGGAUUGCUGCGUCGCAAGGCCGGCCAGCUCUCUUUGAAUUUCCAGGUCUAUGUUUUAUUACAAACCCCAAUUGUAUGAUGUAGAAUGUUGUCAAUGGGCUCUGAGCCUAUAAAACAAAUACAACUUUCAGCAACGGAUCUCUUGGCUCUC